GACGAACGCUGGCGGCGUGCUUAACACAUGCAAGUCGAGCGGUAAGGCCCUUUCGGGGGUACACGAGCGGCGAACGGGUGAGUAACACGUGGGUGACCUGCCCUCAGCUCUGGGAUAAGCCUGGGAAACCGGGUCUAAUACCGGGUAUGACUCCAUGACGCAUGUUGUGGGGUGGAAAGCCUUGUGCGGCUGAGGAUGGGCCCGCGGCCUAUCAGCUUGUUGGUGGGGUNAGUGGCCACCGAGGCGACGACGGGUAGCCGGCCUGAGAGGGCCGACCGGCCACAC
rnacentral:rRNA from 1 species